GCAUUUUGCGUUUCUCCGUCUCCUCGUUUGAGGAAUUGGCAAUGCAGCUUGAAAUUGUGUGGAAUCGGAAAAGUUAGGAGGUUUUCGAUUUUUCGGAAGGUGGAUAAUUUAGGUCUCUGAAGAUUGAGGCUUGGAUAAGGUAGAAAGGAGGUCAGGUAUGGUAGGAAAAAGAGAGUAAAGAAUUAUUAGUAUUUUUUUUUUUUUUUUUUUUUUUUUUUUUUUUGAGUUUGGAAGAGACGGAGAAGGACCACAAGUAGUGUGAGUUUCAUCUUGGAUGUAGUGUAUCUGAAGAAAAGGAUAUUUUCAAUUGUGGCAUGGUGCUUUUGAUGCCAAAUCCAAGUUCUGGUAAGCGUUUGAUUCCUUAAGAUUGAAACUUUGAAUGUUAGACAGAGCCCAAUAUGAACGAAGCCAUUACUUGACUGUGUAACUUUGAAUCGUAAAGGUUCUUACUUUCUGUUUAUCAAGGUGAAGUUGCUUGCUUGUAAUAUUGAUUCAGUUCUUCUAAUCUGUGGUUAUGUAUUUUGGGAUCUUAUUUUGACGUGGGUUCUUUUGUUUGUUUGGAUAUUUUGAUUAGGUACUUUUUGAGGAAGUUGAAGAAAGUGAAGAAGAGCAAUGGACAAAUCUUGGCCAUCAAUGAGCUCUGCGUCCGCAAUUGAUAACAAGGAACAAAGCAUUCCUACAGAUUUUAUGAUGAGCAUCCAGUCAGAGUCACACAAAAAUGGAAACAGGCAGUCAUAGCCGCAAAAAGAUGGAAAUGGGGGGUCAGAAUCACAGAAAGAUGGAAAUGGGAGAUGCAAAAUCUCAAAUGGGACUUCUAGUAAAGAUCCUAAACUAGUGGAAAGCUCCGGCAGCACAAUUGACGGUAACGAGAAAUUAGCUCUGGUGGAAUGAUUAAAUUAUAUCAUUCCUUAUUUAAGACUGCCGACAGAUGCUUCUGAGGAGGAAAUCAGGGCUUGCUUAAUUGAUGGCACUGUUUGAUGCAGAAUUUUAAAUAAGCUGUGUCCGGUUCAGUUGAAAUGUUCCACCAGCUCUUCUAGAACAAUUGAAGCAGGGGACUAAUUUGGAUCUCUGUGAUGUCAAGAUUUUGGAAUCUAUCAAAUCAACCAGUUUACAUAAUGCAUCAAUUUAAUCUGAAUUGGAUCUUCUGCUGUAAAUUCAGGAUCUUUAAAUACCUGUUUUGGAUUUGGAAAGUGCUUGAGAAUGCAAGAAUGGACCUGUGUAUGGUUUCUUACGACUAUAUUCUGGGUGACUGGUUUGAGGAAGAAGCUAUCUUCACCGUUGUGACUGCAGGUGCUAAAUAAGACAACUGGUACUUCAGAAAAUCUCCCUGCUGUUUCUUCUAUAGUGCUUCUAAGGUUGCUUUGGAGUGUUAACCUUUCUUGAUGUUUCGAUUGGUAUUCCUUUUUGCCCAAAUUUGCUUAUUAUGUCUGUGAAAAUGGCUUGCACUUUUGCAUUGAUACUGAUCUGAAACUGGGUUUUUGUGGCUUGCACUUUUGCAUUGAUAUUGAUAUUAAGGUUUGUAAUUUCUUGCAGAAAGCCAGAAAGUUAAAAACCCAUGUUUAGUUUUUGACUUUGGAAUUAGUUUGGAUAGUAUUUCCACUGUUUGAAUAUUAUUUUGACUUUGAAUAUUAACCGAUAGUGGAUUGUGGUCAUGGUCUAAUUGCUUUAGUGGUAAAAACUUUGUCUUUGACAACUGAUUUAUGUAGAAUGAUUGAAAUAAAACUGAAGUGAUUAUAUGUGCAUUUUCUCAUUAUCGUUGAUAUAGAUGG